rnacentral:rRNA from 1 species
AUGGCUUCUUCCGGUUCCGCGACGAGGCCACCGUGUGCUAACCGCGAGGACAUACCGGACAAGUGGACAAACGCCCAGUUGGAUAAGGUGAAGGAAAAAGAUAUGAGAACUCCAUCAUGUUGGUGUGGAGAUGUUUGCAAAGUCAAGGUAUCCACCAACCGCAAUAAAUCAUGGACGGAAGGAAGAAGAUAUUUUGUUUGUCCCAACUAUGCCUACAAUCGUCCUCGUCCGGCUCACGCCUAUGAUGUACCAAAGGUAAGUUGUUCAAGUUCAAAGAGUAUUCAAUCAUUGCUAUAA